UACGUAGGAGACGAGCGUUGUCCGGAAUCACUGGGCGUAAAGCGCGUGUAGGCGGAAGAGCAAGUCUGCUGUGAAAACUCCUGGCUUAACCGGGAGAGGUCGGUGGAAACUGCUCGUCUGGAGGACGGUAGAGGCUGGUGGAAUUCCCGGUGUAGUGGUGAAAUGCGUAGAGAUCGGGAGGAACACCGGUGGCGAAGGCGACAUCCUGGACCGGUAGUUGACGCUGAGGCGCGAAAGCCAGGGGAGCAAACGGG
rnacentral:rRNA from 1 species